AAGUACUGCUGCAAUUAUUUCUAACUCUCUGGGUGUCGCCAUGUGUUCAUAGUCUUGAAGGAACCUUGUUGGCUGGAAGAGACUUAAAAUUUAUCAGUAUAUCAAUGACCACCAUAUUUGGUUUCGCUUCACUUCUCGUCAUGCUCUUCAGCAGUAAAGGAUUUGGUUUAUCGGGGUGCUGGUUUGCUCUAGUAGCAUUCCAAUGGACUCGGUUUUUGGUAGCUCUACGGCGACUCACUUUGGCGGAUGGCAUACUUUAU
rnacentral:misc_RNA from 1 species